UCGAGAAUCUUCGGCAAUGGACGAAAGUCUGACCGAGCGAUGCCGCGUGCGGGAUGAAGGCCUUCGGGUUGUAAACCGCUGUCAGUAGGGAGGAAAUCCAUAGGGGUUCUCCCCUAUGGUUGACCUAUCUUCAGAGGAAGUCCGGGCUAAGUUCGUGCCAGCAGCCGCGGUAACACGAACCGGACGAACGUUAUUCGGAAUUAUUGGGCUUAAAGGGUGCGUAGGCGGUGCGGUAAGUGAGGUGUGAAAUCCCCCGGCUCAACCGAGGAAUUGCGCUUCAUACUGCCGUGCUAGAGGGAGACAGAGGUAAGCGGAACUGAUGGUGGAGCGGUGAAAUGCGUUGAUAUCAUCAGGAACACCGGUGGCGAAAGCGGCUUACUGGGUCUCUUCUGACGCUGAGGCACGAAAGCUAGGGUAGCGAACGGGAUUAGAUACCCCCGUAGUCC
rnacentral:rRNA from 1 species